GACGAACGCUGGCGGCGUGCUUAACACAUGCAAGUCGAACGGUGAAGCUCCAGCUUGCUGGCGUGGAUCAGUGGCGAACGGGUGAGUAACACGUGAGCAACCUGCCCCAGACUCUGGAAUAAGCGCUGGAAACGGCGUCUAAUACUGGAUACGAGAUCAAGCCGCAUGGUUAUGGUCUGGAAAGUUGUUCGGUUUGGGAUGGGCUCGCGGCCUAUCAGCUUGUUGGUGAGGUAAUGGCUCACCAAGGCGACGACGGGUAGCCGGCCUGAGAGGGCGACCGGCCACACUGGGACUGAGACACGGCCCAGACUCCUACGGGAGGCAGCAGUGGGGAAUAUUGCACAAUGGGCGAAAGCCUGAUGCAGCGACGCCGCGUGAGGGAUGACGGCCUUCGGGUUGUAAACCUCUUUCAGCAGGGAAGAAGCGAAAGUGACGGUACCUGCAGAAGAAGCACCGGCUAACUACGUG
rnacentral:rRNA from 1 species